AGAGCGAACGCUGGCGGCAGGCCUAACACAUGCAAGUCGAGCGCCCCGCAAGGGGAGCGGCAGACGGGAGAGUAACACGUGGGAACGUACCCUUUGGUUCGGAACAACCCAGGGAAACUUGGGCUAAUACCGAAUAAGCCCUUACGGGGAAAGAUUUAUCGCCAAAGGAUCGGCCCGCGUCUGAUUAGCUAGUUGGUGAGGUAACGGCUCACCAAGGCGACGAUCAGUAGCUGGUCUGAGAGGAUGAUCAGCCUCACUGGGACUGAGACACGGCCCAGACUCCUACGGGAGGCAGCAGUGGGGAAUAUUGGACAAUGGCGCAAGCCUGAUCCAGCCAUGCCGCGUGGGUGAUGAAGGCCCUAGGGUUGUAAAGCCCUUUCGGCGGGGAAGAUAAUGACGGUACCCGCAGAAGAAGCCCGGCUAACUUCGUGCCAGCAGCCGC
rnacentral:rRNA from 1 species